GAUGAACGCUGGCGGCGUGCCUAAUACAUGCAAGUCGAGCGAACAGAUGAGGAGCUUGCUCCUCUGACGUUAGCGGCGGACGGGUGAGUAACACGUGGAUAACCUACCUAUAAGACUGGGAUAACUUCGGGAAACCGGAGCUAAUACCGGAUAAUAUAUUGAACCGCAUGGUUCAAUAGUGAAAGACGGUUUUGCUGUCACUUAUAGAUGGAUCCGCGCCGCAUUAGCUAGUUGGUAAGGUGACGGCUUACCAAGGGAACGAUGCGUAGCCGACCUGAGAGGGUGAUCGGCCACACUGGAACUGAGACACGGUCCAGACUCCUACGGGAGGCAGCAGUAGGGAAUCUUCCGCAAUGGGCGAAAGCCUGACGGAGCAACGCCGCGUGAGUGAUGAAGGUCUUCGGAUCGUAAAACUCUGUUAUUAGGGAAGAACAAAUGCGUAAGUAACUAUGCACGUCUUGACGGUACCUAAUCAGAAAGCCACGGCUAACUACGUG
rnacentral:rRNA from 1 species